CUUCGGGAGUGAGGGCAUGGGUGCUAAGGUCCAUGUCCGAAAGAGGAACAACUCAGACCACCAGCUAAGGUCCCGAAAUAAGGGCUAAGUUGAAUAAACGAAGUAAAACUGCAAAGACAGCUAGGAUGUUGGCUUGGAAGCAGCCAUUCAUUUAAAGAGUGCGUAACAGCUCACUAGUCGAGGAGUUUUGCAUGGAUAAUAAUCGGGCAUAAGCCCUUUACCGAAGCUGUGGAUGUCGUAAGACAUGGUAGGGGAGCAUUCCGGCGGCGACGAAGGCCGUCCUCGAGGACGACUGGAGCUUUCGGAAAAGCAAAUGUAGGUAUAAGUAACGAUAAAGGGGGCGCGAAACCCCCUCGCCAUAAGACUAAGGAUUCCUGAUCAACGCUAAUCGGAUCAGGGUAAGUCGGGCCCUAAGGCGCAGCCGAACGGCGUAGCCGAUGGAAGAAACGGUAAAGAUUCCGUUACUGGAUAUAGGAGCGAUGUGGAGACGGAGAAGUGACACACCCGCCUGCCGACGGAAGCGCAGGUUAAAGGAAGUAGGUAGACGCCGGGUAGGCAAAUCCGCCUGGCGUGCCGAAGCUGACAGUAUCGAGAGCCCCCGGGCAAUCGAAUAGCGGUGGUAAUCAGGCUCCCAAGAAAAUCCGCUAAGCAUAUUCUAUAUUCACCCGUACCCCAAACGGACACACGUAGUCGGGUAGAAUAUACCAAGGCGCUCGAAAGACUCACGGUUAAGGAACUAGGCAAAUUGACCCUGUAACCUCGGGAAAAAGGGUCCCCAGUAAGAUGGGGCGCAGAGAAUAGGUCCAGGCAACUGUUUAACAAAAACACAGGGCUGUGCAAAAUUGAGAGAUGAAGUAUACAGCCUGACACCUGCCCGGUGCCGGAAGGUUAAGAGGAGAGCUAAUCGCAAGAGAAGGCUUGAAUUGAAGCCCCGGUAAACGGCGGCCGUAACUAUAACGGUCCUAAGGUAGCGAAAUUCCUUGUCGGGUAAGUUCCGACCUGCACGAAUGGUGUAAUGAUCUGGACACUGUCUCAACCGUGACUUCGGUGAAAUUGUAGUAUCGGUGAAGAUGCCGAUUACCCGCAACGGGACGAAAAGACCCCGUGAACCUUUACUGCAACUUAGCAUUGCGUUUGGGCAUUUGAUGUGUAGGAUAGUCCGGAGGCUACGAGUCGGCGACGCCAGUCGUCGAGGAGCCGUUGUUGAAAUACGGACCUUCGAAUGUUUGAGCGCUAACUCGCAGGUGCGAGGACACUGUUUGGUGGGUAGUUUGACUGGGGUGGUCGC
rnacentral:rRNA from 1 species